ensembl:lncRNA
GGGGCCAUAAAUCAAUGUGGUGUUGCUGGAUUUACAGAUGGAGAACUGAGGCCUGGAGAGGGAAAUUGACUUGCAAGCUAUUGAUGGAGCCAGAGAGCAAGGAAGCUCGUCCCAUACAGAAGAGAUGGGAGGCAUUGUUCUGGCAGUUUGGACUGAAUGCCUCAAACACUGGUCUGGUAAUUUCAUCAUGUGGUCAGAGGUUCAUGAAUAAGAAAGUGCAAUCCAUCAUUGUAUGUAACGGCAAACAUGUAGAAACAACCAAGCUGCCCAACAAUAGAAGACUAAAUAGCACAUCCACUUGCUUGAAUACUAUGCCACUAAAGUAAUGGAUAUAAAUGUUUUAUAAUAAUGUGAAGACUUAGUUUUGAGCUAAUUUGGGAUAGGAAAACAGUUUACAACUUGCGCAGGAAGUAUUAUCUCAAUUGUGUAAAAUAAAAAUACAUGUGUGGAAAGAUUAUGAGAGAAUACUCUUAAAUAUUCUUAAUGGUUGUUCUGAGGCAUUCAUUUUUUCUUUUUCUUUAUUCCCUAAAAUCUUCACAAUGAGCUUGUGUUUCAUUUACAAUGGAAAAUCAGAAUAAACCUAAAAAAUACUAGAAUAAUCUGAAAGAAAAGACAUAUUUAAAAAUAUGAAAUAAAUAUGUAUUAAGAUGGUUCUCUCAGAGAAUAAAACAGUGGCUACUACAGGUAGAGAAGGGGAGAGAGAAUGGGAGACGCAGGUCAAAGCAUAUAAAAUAGCACAUAUGUGGGAUGAACAAGUAGAGAGGCCUAAGGUACCACAUGGAAACUAAAGUUAAUAAAAUUGUAUUGCAUUAGUGGGGAAAUGGUUCUCCAAAUAGUCUACAAAGCUCAUUAUCAAACUGGGAAGUCUUUGGACUUUUCCUACCCCAGGGAUAGAGAGUUUCGAGGUCUUCUGAGACCCACCAGAUUCAAGGUCAAGAAGGAAGCACAAAUGUCUUCCUAUAGCCCUGGGCUCAGCCAACAUCUCCUCGGUACUUAGAAAUGUGAUUGGAUCCCAGCAUUAGGGAACAUGUCUCAACCACUGGGCCUGCCACAGAGCAUCACAGUCCACUGAGAGAGCAAAUCAAACACUGGGGACUGAUGUGUGAAAGCUGUUACUGCAGGUGUGACCGCUCCCCGCCAACUCCCACCACUUUAAGAUAUGUCAUAGCGACCAACCCGUGUAGUGGCUGUCCAAUUACAGAGGAGCAGGGGCUGCGGCCAUGUCUUCUCUCCACACCCUGUGAGCAUUACCAGGCAUACGGUGGUUGACCAUUGAAGACUUGCUGAAUGUGAAUCCUUCUCCACUAGGUUCUUGCUCAUAUCCUGCCCCAUUGCAUCCUCACAGCAACCCCAUGAGAAAAAGGACAUUAUUAUACCUAUUUGUCAGAGAACAAAACACAUAUGUCAAGUGGUGAAGUGAUCUGUUCAAGGGCACACUUCUGGAAACUGGCAGAACUGAGAUGCUGUCUCAAGAUCUGUCUGUUGCAAGCCCCACAUUCUCUGUCUUGAGAGUGGCUGCAUGAAGGAGCAUAUAAGGGAGACAGAAGUUUGACUUUGAGUUUGACCUGACCUUGAGUCUGACCUGACCCUGAAUCAAGUGCCAUCCCCACUAAUUCAUUAUGUGACUUUGGGCAAGAAACUGCUUUGAGCCUUGGUUUCCUCAACUGCAUAAUGAAGACAAUAAUAAUGCUUACCUUGCAGAGUUAUUGUGAAUAUUAAACACACACAGAGACACAUGGUCCCUCUGUGGGGUGGCUCUGAUAUUAUUUGCAUUGUUCAAGAGUAUACAAAAAAAUAAGGAAAUCUUCAAAACAUCUUUAAAAAAUGGGCCAUAACGUUAGAAAAACUCAAUAAAUACUGUACUUAAAAAAAAGAAAACUGCCGGGUAAUCUCACUUAGAGAUUUAGAUGCAAAAGCUUUAGUAAAAUAUUAACAAUCAGGAUACAGAAGAACAUUAAAAUACUACUACUAUUUCCAAGUGGGAUUUAUUUCACAAUGUAAGGAUAGGUCAAUAUUAGGAAAUCUACUAUUAUUCAUCAUAUUAAAAGAGCAAAGAAGAAAAAUCAGAUGAUGGUUCCCAGGGACAAUGACAAGAUAUGUUAUAGAAUUCAAUAAUU